CGAGCAGGUGCGAAAGCAGGUCAUAGUGAUCCGGUGGUUCUGAAUGGAAGGGCCAUCGCUCAACGGAUAAAAGGUACUCCGGGGAUAACAGGCUGAUACCGCCCAAGAGUUCAUAUCGACGGCGGUGUUUGGCACCUCGAUGUCGGCUCAUCACAUCCUGGGGCUGAAGUAGGUCCCAAGGGUAUGGCUGUUCGCCAUUUAAAGUGGUACGCGAGCUGGGUUUAGAACGUCGUGAGACAGUUCGGUCCCUAUCUGCCGUGGGCGCUGGAGAACUGAGGGGGGCUGCUCCUAGUACGAGAGGACCGGAGUGGACGCAUCACUGGUGUUCGGGUUGUCAUGCCAAUGGCACUGCCCGGUAGCUAAAUGCGGAAGAGAUAAGUGCUGAAAGCAUCUAAGCACGAAACUUGCCCCGAGAUGAGUUCUCCCUGACCCUUUAAGGGUCCUGAAGGAACGUUGAAGACGACGACGUUGAUA
rnacentral:rRNA from 1 species